GACGAACGCUGGCGGCGUGCCUAAUACAUGCAAGUAGGACGCAGUUGCGAACGGGUGAGUAACGCGUAGGUAACUCCCUAUAAGAGGGGGAUAACAAUUGGAAACGAUAGCUAAUACCGCAUCCUAGUAGAUGGAUCUGCGUGGUAUUAGCUAGUAGGUAGGGUAAUGGCCUACCUAGGCAACGCUGCAUUACCGACCAGGGAGGGUGGUCGGGCAACCUGGGACUGGGACCCGGCCCAGACUCCUUCGGGAGGCAGCAGUAAGGGAUCUUCGGGCAUGGGGGGAAAGCUGACCGAGCAACACCGCGGGAGGGAAGAAGGUUUUUGGGGCGUAAAGCUCUGUUGUUAAUGAAGCGGUACUUAACCAGAAAGGGACGGCUAACUACGUGCCAGCAGCCGCGGUAAUUC
rnacentral:rRNA from 1 species